rnacentral:lncRNA from 1 species
CACAGUUUGACAUCAAGAGGAAUGCAAACAGAUGCUUUAUUUUUAGCAUAGUUAUUCUCUCAGGUUGGUGCUAUCUUUCAUCUUGGCUCAAUGAGGUGGGCUUAAAUCUACCUUUCUUCAUGCAGACGCCUGUGUCAGUGCUUGCAGAAUCUCUGCCCUUGUUUGGAAGAAGAGUGCUUUCUGUGAGACUAGGACGUAGUGAAUUGAAGCUUAAGGCUUGUGAUGUACCUACAUCAUGUCUAUUUCAGAGCCUCAGAAAAGGGUGCUCCAGCUUUUUUUGGAAGAGGAUAGAUUCCGUAAGCAUGGCUGUGGACACAGCAUACAGGUAUUCUGCAUUUCUGCCUCUGUGGAGCCAAAAGAGCGUCAGAUUGCCACAUUGCAGUUCAGGGGCUGCUUUUUCGUGGCGUUCCCUCUGCAAGGUACUGCACAGAGUGAAUGUAUGUGGCAGAGGACCAGACUUGAUAUCCCAUGGACAUUUAUGCAUGAAGAUGAACUAUCUCCCAAGUGAUCUGAAAUCUUCACUGGAGCUAAGCUGUCGGCUAAAUGUUAUACCUCUGCACUUUUCGUUUCAGAGUCACGGAACUGUUCAAGGCUGUAGUUCUGCAGAGUUCUGUAUGAUCAAUGAAGGACCAAAUAUGGUAACAGCAUAGUGGCAUGUAUCAGAGUCUGCAAGAACAUAGAAAUCUUGAAGUCCCUGACUUGGGACUGAAGGAGUGAGAUCUGGAGACUGGAGAAUUACUUGGGUGGAAGCAUCAUAUAUACUUGUUUUGUUCCCAUGCUCUUCCCUGGACUUCCACUUUUGAUCACUCUCGGAAGUAGAACACUGGACUAGACAGACCUUUGGUCUGACUCUUUUGUGUUCUUAUAUGUAUUUUCUGCCUAUUUGGCAACCAUGAGUUGUAUUCCAUUUUGGUAUUUGAGAGGCUUUCCAUAUGUUUUCACAAUGCCUAGCAUAGUGGAGCCCUGACCUUUGUUAACUCUUGGGUGAUUCCCUGUACAAAUAACAACAGCAUGAUUAAUAACAUAUACUAUAUGAUUUUCCCCUUCUAAA